rnacentral:rRNA from 1 species
GACGAACGCUGGCGGCGUGCUUAACACAUGCAAGUCGAACGGAAAGGCCCUGCUUUUGUGGGGUGCUCGAGUGGCGAACGGGUGAGUAACACGUGAGUAACCUGCCCUUGACUUUGGGAUAACUUCGGGAAACUGGGGCUAAUACCGGAUAGGAGCUCCUGCUGCAUGGUGGGGGUUGGAAAGUUUCGGCGGUUGGGGAUGGACUCGCGGCUUAUCAGCUUGUUGGUGGGGUAGUGGCUUACCAAGGCUUUGACGGGUAGCCGGCCUGAGAGGGUGACCGGCCACAUUGGGACUGAGAUACGGCCCAGACUCCUACGGGAGGCAGCAGUGGGGAAUAUUGCACAAUGGGCGGAAGCCUGAUGCAGCAACGCCGCGUGCGGGAUGACGGCCUUCGGGCUGUAAACCGCUUUCGCCUGUGACGAAGCGUGAGUGACGGUAAUGGGUAAAGAAGCACCGGCUAACUACGUG